rnacentral:rRNA from 1 species
UACGGGGGGAGCAAGCGUUGUUCGGAUUCAUUGGGCGUAAAGGGUGCGUAGGCGGCGCGGUAAGUCGGGUGUGAAAUCUCGGAGCUUAACUCCGAAACUGCAUUCGAUACUGCCGUGCUUGAGGACUGGAGAGGAGACUGGAAUUCAUGGAUGGUAGCAGUGAAAUGCGUAGAGAUCAUGGAGGAAGACCAGUGGCGAAGGCGGGUCUCUGGACAGUUCCUGGACACUGAGAACACGGAAGGCCAGGGGAGCAAACGGG